rnacentral:rRNA from 1 species
UACGAAGGGGGCUAGCGUUGCUCGGAAUCACUGGGCGUAAAGGGUGCGUAGGCGGGUCUUUAAGUCAGAGGUGAAAUCCUGGAGCUCAACUCCAGAACUGCCCUUGAUACUGGAAAGCUUGAGUUCGGGAGAGGUGAGUGGAACUGCGAGUGUAGAGGUGAAAUUCGUAGAUAUUCGCAAGAACACCAGUGGCGAAGGCGGCUCACUGGCCCGAUACUGACGCUGAGGUGCGAAAGCGUGGGGAGCAAACAGG